AUUGAACGCUGGCGGCAUGCCUUACACAUGCAAGUCGAACGGCAGCACGGGAGCAAUCCUGGUGGCGAGUGGCGAACGGGUGAGUAAUAUAUCGGAACGUGCCCAGUCGUGGGGAUAACGUAGCGAAAGCUACGCUAAUACCGCAUACGAUCUAUGGAUGAAAGCGGGGGAUCGCAAGACCUCGCGCGAUUGGAGCGGCCGAUAUCAGAUUAGGUAGUUGGUGAGGUAAAGGCUCACCAAGCCGACGAUCUGUAGCUGGUCUGAGAGGACGACCAGCCACACUGGGACUGAGACACGGCCCAGACUCCUACGGGAGGCAGCAGUGGGGAAUUUUGGACAAUGGGCGCAAGCCUGAUCCAGCAAUGCCGCGUGCAGGAUGAAGGCCUGG
rnacentral:rRNA from 1 species